UUGUAAAAGGAAAUUUGUCGGUGUGCGAAAGGAUUUAAUUAAUACAGUGUGUGCUUAAUAUUUAAAUAUAACAUAUCACACAUUAGGCUACGUGCGAUAAGCUGACAUAGGGGAGGAACACUUGCUACUCCUUUACACUAUAAUAGGCUAUGGGGGAGGAAUACUUGCUACUAAUUUACACCAUGCUAGGCUAUGAUAAGCUGACAUGGAUGAUAUUUGCAACUCUCGAAAUGGUAGGGUACUGUAAGAUGACAUGGGCGAUAUUUGAAACUCCUUGAUAUAAUAGUAGGCUACAGUAAGAUAACAUAGGCGAUAUUUGCAACUCCUUGACAUGAUAGGCUACGGUAAGCUGGCAUGGGAAUAUUUGCGACUCUUAUUAUGCUAGGCUACAGUAAGAUGACGAGGGGUAUUUGCAACUCUGGCAUGGAUUAGGCUACAGUACUCUUAAUAUGCUAGGCUACAGAAAGAUGACGAGGGAUAUUUGCAACUCCAUUAUGCUAGGCUACAGUAAGAUGACAAUGGCGAUAUUUGUAACUCCUUUAUAUGCUAGGCUACGGUAAGAUGACAUGGGGAUAUUUGCAACACCACUAUGCUAAGCUACGGUAAGAUGACAUGCGGAUAUUUGCAACUCCAUUAUGCUAGGUUACAGUAAGACGACAUGGGGAUAUUUGCAACUCCACUAUGCUAGGUUACAGUAAGGUGACAUGGGGAUAUUUGCAACUCCACUAUGCUAGGUUACAGUAAGGUGACAUGGGGAUAUUUGCAACUCCAUUAUGCUAGGUUACAGUAAGGUGACAUGGGGAUAUUUGCAACUCCACUAUGCUAGGUUACAGUGAGGUGACAUGGGGAUAUUUGCAACUCCACUAUGCUAGGUUACAGUAAGGUGACAUGGGGAUAUUUGCAACUCCACUAUGCUAGGUUACAGUAAGGUGACAUGGGGAUAUUUGCAACUCCACUAUGCUAGGUUACAGUAAGGUGACAUGGGGAUAUUUGCAACUCCAUUAUGCUAGGUUACAGUAAGGUGACAUGGGGAUAUUUGCAACUCCACUAUGCUAGGUUACAGUAAGGUGACAUGGGGAUAUUUGCAACUCCACUAUGCUAGGUUACAGUAAGGUGACAUGGGGAUAUUUGCAACUCCAUUAUGCUAGGUUACAGUAAGGUGACAUGGGGAUAUUUGCAACUCCACUAUGCUAGGUUACAGUGAGGUGACAUGGAGAUAUUUGCAACUCCAUUAUGCUAGGUUACAGUAAGGUGACAUGGGGAUAUUUGCAACUCCUUGAUAUGCUAGCCUACGAUAAGAUAACAUGAGGAUAUUUGGAACUCCAUUAUGCGAGGUUAUAUUAAGAUGACAUGGGGAUAUUAAAUUUUACAACUCUGUUUUGCUAGGCUACGGUAAACUGGCAUAAGGAAGUCCCUUAUAAGCAGCACGCUGCCCGUCAGGCACAGACAGGUAUGGGUGGCAGUAUAUUAGUGUGCGUGGCAGUGUGCUGCUCAGUGCCAGCACAGUGGUUAGAUUAAAUCCGGACGUUGUGCCCUUUCCGAAUUUUUUGAGAAAAUUUUAAUGUGCUGGUUCUGCAUCAACACCGUCGCCCCAAGAGACGGCCAGCAGCCAGGGGCCAUAUUCAGAAAACACUUACAACGUUGUAAGGCCGAGGUACAACCACCCGAAUUCAGGAAGCAUCCGGGGAGGUUGUAAAGGAGGUGUAAGGACUAAGGAGGAUGUAAGUUACAACCUCGACGGAGGUGGUGUAAAUCUUACAACCUUCUUUAUAUUGACAUGAAAUAUGUCCUAAUUAGUGUUUCUUGACAAAAAAAAUGAAAGUAUAAGAGUUUUUUCCUUAAAAGCGAGAUGAUACAUGAGUUGCUUGUGUUUACAUCCUCAGUCAGACCACUGCCAGCACCCACGAAUUUUAUUGGCUAAGGGACAAAAAUACAUUCGGUAAUACUGAAGUUUAGGACCAGUAUGCAUUUCACUACAUAGACAAGCUUUACCCCAUGCUUUUUGUGUGUUUUGAACGAUUCUAAGCUUCGCUUUCACCAGAAAUACUUCUGUUUCCCCUUCCCUCCCUUCGGAUGAGGAAAUAGGGGAAACGAUGUAUUCACCGAUGCCAAUGAAGGUCAAAACAUAAAAAAAAAAACAUAAAAAAACAUCAGAAGAAACUAUUGUACAUGGUGUAAUUUUUAAUGAUUUAGCUAUUAAUGUGUUAAAUGUGGUGCAGCAACACUAUAUUAAUUAAGUCCGCCGUGGGGUGUACACCAUAUGUCGCCUGCCGCUGCCCUGGCCACGGCACGUCACGCAAGCCGAUGCCAUGUUUGGCUUUUCCAAUUUCUACCUUUCUACCGUCAGUAACACUUAAGUCGCCACUGCGUUAAAGUCGCCAGACGUCAUAUAUUAUGAAUAUUAGCGUCACUGAUGACUUGAAUGUGCCACUAGAGAGGUGCAUGUAACUGUUCCAGUUGUGACUGUCUGAUCUCAGUUAUUUCAGUGACGCUAAAUUCAUAAUAUAUGACGUCUGGCAACCUUAACGCAGUGGCGUCUUUCAGUGAUUGGCUGGCACAUUUUCUUCAUCGACUCUGACUCACUCGUGACUCGCUAGGACGAGUCUGAUGACGUCAUGAAUGCCUCGCCCAAUCAGCUGCCUCUCUGAGCUACAACCUUCCCAUCUCUGAGUUACACCCUCCCCGCAACCUCCUUUCUGAAUGCGGGUGCAGCGCAGGUUGUCCGGAGGGUAUAAGUCUCCAGGGCCCGGUAUCACAAACUGACUCAGUAACUACGAACUAACAUAACUACGCACUAUUGAUUUAGCUACCGACGUUAGCGUCAGAUUCACGAAGCAAACCUUAGAUUGUAGUUAGAGGCGCGCUAAGUCAGCGAGGCCGCUGAUUGGUUGAUGACGUCAAUGGCCUUGCAGCGAAUCGUAAGCACGUUUACAGAACCGUCAGCCAAUCCUAGGGAGCCCCCACCAGCUGCUGGUUCAAGAAACCCAUUCUCUUUUCCCAUUUUUCUUCCUUUCAAGGCAAACUGUACAAAAUCGUAAUCUACGAAUUCAAUUAUUUCGUUGUUUGCUGCACAUUUACGUCAAAGUAGCUCUGCUGUUCAAUGUCUUGUUACCUACGAACAUGCUUAAGAUGAAGAAAAAGAAGAUACGGAGGAGAUUGAGGCAGGAAGAAAGCAAGUAGAAAUAUGGGACAGAUAUUGAGGCAGACAGAACGAAGGACGGAAGGAAGGAAUAGGGAAAAUUAAGACUGUCUUGCCAUAUCUGCGGCCCAACUCAUGGGAUAGCUGUCACCCGACAAAGGUCCAUGGUCCCUCCACGGAUGGGGGCGGUGUCACGGGCAAAAUUAAGCCCGGACAUCCACAUGCCUCUGUUAUCUUAGCUCAAGCUCGUGUAUGUGGGGUUCUUUUCGACUGAUAUGGCGUCUAGAACUAGCAUAAUCAUCAUUCUUUAUUAUGAUGACAAAGACCAUGUCAAAAUUUGCCUCAUUAAAUAAGAAAGUACAUAAAGUUCGGCAGCUUUUCCUCGUCUCCAAGCCAUCCUCCAGAGCAGCACUCCGACAUCCAUGAUCGCACAUUCAUUUUUCUCAGAAAAUAGGAUACCAAUCACAUAUACAUCAAUAUAUUUCCACAGGUGAAUACUUAGGGCAUGUUCACACCAAGUUGCGACACCUGAGAUUCAUUAAUAAUGACAGGGGAAGGAAAAAUAUAGGCCCCUGUCAUCGAUAAAAUUGAGCCUCGGGCAGAAUUGAGUCUGGGCAUCUAUGUGCCUCGGAUUUCUUCGCUAUUAUAUAUUGUAAGAUCGUUCUGUUGACAUGUAUGGGUAAAUUAACGCUUUCUGUAUCUACAUAUAGAAGGAAAACGCAAAAUUCUCCCUAGUAAAUCAGAAAUUACAUAAAGUCCGGCAACUUUUCCUCGUCGCCAAGCCAUCCUUCACGGCAGGCAGAGGAGGGAGGUCUGGCAAUCCCCCGGCCGGGUGUUGCCAUACCUCCCACACUUAUCAUAUACCUCUCAAAGGGUGCAUAUCUCAUCAUUUUAUAAAGAAAUGGGCCUCCUCUACUCGCAAAGUUAUAUUUCAAGUUGAAAAACGCGAUUUAUAAGCAUUUAUACGUAAAUCUGAUUAUAUUGUUAGCGUUACCGUCAGCUCCGAGGCAGUAGUUAUUUAACAACAAAUUUAACGUCACACAGAGCGCGGUAAACGUUUGUAGAUCCGCGCGCUAACCCGUGACGUCAUCGAUUAGUUGGUAGUUAGCUUUGUGAAUCUCGAUGUUCUCAAAACUACGCACUAAGGGCCCAAAACUACGAACUAAGCCUUUGUGGAUCCGGGCCCAGGCACAGUACAGGGGCACGGCAGACACGCACACCGGAUGCACACAACUCGCGAGCGGAGCAGCUCAACACUCUCUAAGCCCAGACACGCCACCCUCAGCUGCUCCUCAGCCACCCUUGCUCGCAACAGCCGACUCAGCACUUCCUGCCCGGCGGCCGGUGGCCCCGGGCUCCCCUCUGUCUCUCUUGUCCCAACAAGUAGAGUUGCACCAUGCUGAGCUAACAUUGCAUCAUGCUACAAUUUCAUCACAUUACACAUACAAUCAUUCACAUACAGCACAUUCGUAACACUAUCCCCUCCUUCAAAAGCAGUCGACCCGGCUGCCCCAACAUUCAACAAACAAAACACAUGAAAUAAAUCAAACUAAUCAGUCCCCUGGGACAUCACUAAAGUCUCUUAACCAUCCCGGCCGACGCCUCUCUCGCCGAGGGCGCCGCUGGGAUGCGGGCGGCGGCAGGCAGGCGGUGGCACCCAGACCCGCAUCGUCGGCCCCAAGUACUUGCUCAGGGUCGUCACUGACAUCUGCCGCUUCGCCCGCACCGCCCAUGUUCUCGUUCGCCCCUUGGUCGA